CCGAGUGUUGCCGCUGUUGCCUUCUCAAACCCGUGAUCUGUAGUGAUUCUCUCCUAUCCUUUCCCUCCCCACUUCCGCCGAAGACUGUAAAGCGAGCAACGAUUUUUAAAGCUAUUAUUUAUUCACCUUUCUUUUAGGCAGAGCUAGUGCACGUUCGGGGCUCUGCAUUUUGCCGAAUCGCGCUGAGACUUGCUGCUUCGAUGAUUGCUAAAAUGUAGCGUCACCUACCUGGUUGCCUAUGGCGUUUGCUUGUCCCUGUCCCUGCGCCCUGGGUGAUGCCUGGCUCCUGUACCUGUCCUUUCCAUUCGGAUUCCAGAGGGAAAAAAAAGGGAGACUGUCAGAAGAAGGAGGACCUGGGCGAGCAUGGGGCAGCCAGUGGGAAGAGAACCGGCGUGUGUGUGUGUAUGCGCGCAGCGAGGGGGAGGCAGGAAUCCAGCUGCUCUCUCUCCCCCUGUGAACACAUGUGGGAAAACAAGUUAUUGCCCGUUCUGUGUGUGCGUGUGUGCAUUCCUCCUUUUAAAUGGUCAUUUUGAAUAAAGUCGCAUGCAGAAGAAUGUAGUGAAAUGUCUCUCUUUCAUCGCGAUGACAUAUUUGAAAGAAAAGCGGCCGGAAAUGUUGAGGUGGUUCAAAGCAACGGUCACAGCGUGUCUUUGUCAUUUAGGGCGCAUCAGCGAGAAAGCCCGGCUCGGCGCAGACUCAGUGUUCACAGCCGCAGUCCCGGACGGAGGAGGGGGGCUCGGGAGCUCAGCAUCUUCGCAGCGGGCUAAGUAGGAUUAAUACCAAAUCCCUAUUAUAUUUGCCAAGCAACUUGAAUUUAUCAAAAUUCCCCCUCGCUCUUCUGGAGCUCCGAGAGGAGGAAAUUUUGCCCACAGUGUAAGAUCCAGACAUACCAUGUCUUCACAUGCAAUCUCUUCCUAAAUGUGCAAUGCCUUUCCUGCUCGGGAGCGCUGCGUCCUUCACAGUGGAUUGGUUCCUCUUUCGGAGCAGAGGUUUUUGCCCAGAAACUACUUUCCUCUGAUGUGACCUCUCUUUUGAGACAUAACCUUGUGGAGCAGGAAGCUGCAAUGUUUGAACACAGAAGAAUGAAAGUUAGAUCUGAACAGAGAGAAAAGGAUGAAGAAUGGUUAUUGACUGUCCUAAGUAACAAUGAUGUCAAAAGAUAACUGUGAAAUUUACCUUAAAAUCAUCCCAUUAAUGCUCUCCUUAAACAAUGAUAACAUUGUAUAUGUUUAGUUGUUCAAAUAACAAACACUCAGCCAAUCAAAAUGAUUGGUCCUGAUGACCAACCAUGUAAGUGUCACUAAUAUCACAUAUGAUUAAACUUUUGUUCUGUUUUCAGUUUGUUCGGUUGGGUUUUGGCUGGGAAAUUGUGUAGAAAAAAAAAAUCAAACCAAAACAGUUAUUAUCAAGAACAUUACUCAUAUUGCCAGAUCAAACACUCAGAAGUUAGAAAAUGUUAGAAUAUUGACAGCAGAUCCUUAAUUUGAAUGCCAGUGCAUCAUCUAUUGCAAUGUUUGAUUGCAAUCUUAUUACAUAUUCAUGUACAUUUUGUCCACUGGAUUUCAAUUUGUGAAUAAAUAAAUAAAUAAAAACACACACAAAAAAUAAAUAUUAAAAUAUUAAAGAGAUACAUUUUAAUAAAUUAAAACAUAUUUUAUUGAAUUACACAGAACAGGUUGGACUGUAAGAUAAGGUUGUACUUACAUAAGGUUGGACUUAGUAAGAAACAUUAUUAUUAUUAUUAUUUUUCAUGUUCAGGCCUUAUUUACUGCACACUGUUCAAAUUACAUCCUGGUCAUGGAAUUAUUAAAUGGAUUUUUUUAUUAUGUACUUAAUUGUGUAAAAAAUUCAAAAAUAUUAUUUAGUUUGGGAAGAACUGUAUUAUAUUUGGGGUUAUUGUGAUUCCAGUAUUACAAAUAGGAAGGUAAUAAUGAGAUGCAGGUCAAAAAUGUCCACAGAUUUAGGAUAUCUAAUUUGAGCCUUUUAGGUUCAUAAUUUAGGGGCUGCUUAGAAUUACAUAGCUUUUACAUGUACAACCCAAAACUUUCACUGACAUAAGGUGUGCCUAAGAAUGUUCACUGUUCUGCAAAUCAGUCUCAGGAUUUUAGGUAAAAACUCAGAAACAGGUGAAAUCACAAUCAAAAUGUUUUGUUCUGUGACUUAAUAUCCUGGUGGAAUUCUAUGACAGCAGUGAGUGUCAGUCUCCAGCUUCAAAUACAAUGUUCUAAUGCUAUGAAAUACUGUUUUCCUCUUUGAUUUCACUUCAGGAAAGGUCAUUUCUGUAGAAUGAAUAAAGUAGGGGUCUUGAAGGGAAAACAUAUGACUCUUAUCAAAGACUAUGUCAGACUGCACAAGUACAAGUGAGGGAAACUAUGAUUCUACCUAUAACUUCAUUUUGAUAAUUUUCUAACUAUGAAAUGAGCUUUUGAUUUUUUCUUUUUUAAUAUUAUUGUGUGGCAUAUAGUAAUUUCUAUUGCAGACAGAGGACAGCAAAGAUCCUUACCACCAGAAAAGAAAAUUCAUUUAGGUAUACAACACUUUGGAAAAGAAGGAACUGGGGUGGGGGGAAGAAUUCUUGAAUAAGCAUAAGUGGAAGAUGCACAGAUGGUAGAAGUUCCUAAAUGUUCUACUCUUCUCUCUGGGCAUCUUUUGCUACAUAAAUGUGUUAACAUUUGUUAGAAGGCAUGAUUAAAGGCUUUAUAGGCUUUACAGAUGGAAUGUAAUUUAGUGGAAAGUUUUGAAAGAUAGAAGAUUCACACAUGAAAUGGUUUCCAUUAAAGGAAUUAGAAAAGGGGAGGUCUAGAGAGGCAACAUAGACGUAGUAACAACUAAAUAUUGUUCUGUAAACAAAAGUUUGGUUGACCAGUUAAAUUGCUUUCAGUAACUUUACUGGGGUCAGGUUAGGUUGGAAUACCUAUCUGUGAAAUAGAAGACCUGAGUCAUUUCCUUUCAUCCAGAGAUACCUCUGUUUUUUUCAAAGGAAUAAUUAAUGUAAAACAUACCUGCAGAUCAAAAAACUUAUUUAAAGCUAUUUGACAUACAGCCACCCUAUACUCAGUUAAGCAUCCUAUUAGGCCACAGAAUUAGGAAUGCAUUCUGUUCCUCUUUUUCCUCCAGCAAAACUCAGUUACACUUCCAUUCUUCCUCCAACUUGCAGGAAGCCUCAUGUCCGCUAUGCUAUAUGUCAUGUAAGAGGAAAGCACCUUGAACACAAGGGUCAACAAACUUGAGAAUAUUUUCUUGUUCAGGGAAGUGAAAGAAAGUCAUACCAGACAAACUUAUUUACUUAGGCCAAUUUUCAGAGAUUCUUACCCAACAUAUAUACAUGUAUGUGUAUGUAUAUAUUUGUAAAUAUAUGUAUAUUUGGUUACCUGAUAAGAAUAGAAAAUAUUGGGCAAGAAACUGCUGACAGAUGUAAAAUCCUAUAAACUGUUAUAAUUGUCAAUAGGACAUCAAAAUUAUUUAUCAGUGUUAUACAGAUAUGGUCAAUUGCCUCAGAUUAUAUUCAUCAGUAGAAAGACUUGGAACUAAUAAUUCAGGCUACUUUUGUUUCUGUUAUAUGUACAUUAAAAGCAGAAAUAGUAACUUUUUAGAAAAUAGUUUUGUUUUUAAUUAGCAAAAAGGAUUAGACUUCAAUUAUUUGCCUGUAGAAGAAUGGAAACAUCACUACUGGUCCUCAGCCAUGUUGGAAAUAUAAAGUCUGAGAAUGAGAAGAGUCCAAGUAAUAGUGCUUUUCUACCACACAAGCGCUUUCAUGAAAACCACCAUUCAAGGCCUCUGUCAUAUCUGACUUGUUGAUUCAAAAAAACUGACCUGAGCCACACUGAGAACCAAUGAAGUACUAUUUUAAAAAUAAUACUUUGCUCUUUAUAAAGGGAAAAUAAAGCUUUUAAAUAUUGAGCUCUUGCCUUAUCUUUGCAACAAGAUUUCUGUUAGUGAUUCUUCACUAAAUCUGAUUGCAAACUGGAGAGAUACAAAAAUAUUCCAAUCUUGUGGCUGUUUUGUGUAUUUGAGAUAUAUUUAUGAAGAAAAAAAGCAUACUUUUCCAAAAAAGGUCACAUUUCCAUUUUAAAGAAGAAUAUCAAAGAGCCAAACUCUCAUAUUUGAUGCACAAGUGUACUGCGGCCAGAAUCUUACUUCCUUGUAGCCUGCUCUUGAUAAGGCAUUUUGUUUGACUGUCUGGUUUUCUUCAGUGUUUUGUUUCCCAGAGCUGUCUGUUCUUUAUAAAAAUACCUAUAUGCCAAUUUAAGGCAUUCAGAAGUCAAUCAGUUGUAAAUGCAAGUGUGUAUUAUGAGACUUUCCUUCCCUUUAAUGCAGUUAAUGAAUAUGUUCCCAUGACUUUUAAAUGGACUGGUGCCUCAGCACAUUUUCAGAAUUACUUUAUUUGAAAACACUUCCAUUUAUAAUGGGGCUUAAAUCUCAUUUCCCUCCAUAUCUACCCUCACUUAGUCUUUUUUAAGGCCCCUCUGUAAAAAAAAAAAAACAAACUAUGUAUAUAUAUAUAUAUGUAUCUCAGCUGCUGCUCCUCCUCUCAAUGCUUUCAUAGUAUUAGUAAGAGCAGAAACCAACUGAUGCCUUACUCUGUUGCUCAUACAGAGACAAUAUGCAGACACUGCACUAUCCUCCAUUCCUGGCUGAAGAGCUCUGUGCUACUGUUUCGUAUUAUCUACACACACCGCUUCUGCUUCAUGUGUCUGCUAAAUCUUAAUGACUCCCUGUAGUCUCUGCGACUUCACAUUUUCCCUGUAGGAACCUAGAGUAAGACAGGUAAAGAUUCUCUUAAUUUCAAACUACUGCAGAUCCUAAUUGGAAAAGAAAAAAAAAAAAAAAGAAGUUGUCUGAAAUAGUAGUACAGACACAGUCCUGGAUGACUGGAAGGAGAGAAAAUAGAAGGGAGCAUAAAGAAGGUGAGAAAAGAGGUGCAAGUUAUACUGCAUGACUGUGUCCUUUACUUGCUGAGUCAGCAGGAAGCAAGAGCUCUGCAGGGGCACACUUAGCCUUCACAUUUCUCCACAGAAACCCCAUCUGGCCAACUAAAUUGCCAGCAAUUGAGAAGACAUGCAGGAAGCUGUAUCCAGCUAUUCUCAUUCAGUGUGAAGGUUACUGUGUUGUGGAGGUAGGGGGAGAGCAAAUAAGGAAAGCAUUAUAAGACUGUGCCUCUCACAUACAAUAAAGGGAAGCAUUGAAUAUGUGAUCACUUUUAUUCUGUUCACUGUGUAAAGAAUUAGAAAUUCCAGGAAAAUUUGGCUACUGUUUUAGAAAGACCUAACAUCAGGCAAUCUUGGAAAGAAAAAUGUUCAUCAAGAAAAAAGCUGAAGGAAAUUGAAUAAUCAAAUUUUACUAUAGAAUUUUGUAUUUAAAUUUCAAAAUCGGAAGCUUUUACUUGUAGUCUUUCUGUCAAGUCAUCUGAAGAAAAUUUCUUGGAGCUCUAUUUGGCUUUUGCAGGACCUCUAACUUUAACGUCCAUUCAAAAGGCCUAGAAAAAUAAAAUGCCUUCCCUUGGCUUCUUAGCAUGUAAUGUUCUCUCAAAUACAAGUACUGAACUGAGAUAUAAAACAAAGAAAACUACACCAACAUUGCAUAAAAGCACUCAAUAAUCUAUGUGUGGAACGCUCCAGAAGAAUACAUCAGCUAAUGGUUUAUAAGAACAAUUAGUAAAACACCAAUUGCAAAUUACUCCUUCAGUUCAAUGUUUCCCAGUGAGUGAGGCUGCUUUAAGUGGAGCAAUGUGCCAGCAUUAAAGAUGAAGCACAGAACAGAAUAUAAUCCAAUGAAUGUAUUAACUUAGGUUUUGUGCCCAGUUUGACACUGCCAGCAGUAGCAAACUGAAGGAAAGGAGAUGCUCAAAUACACCAGUGUGAAAAAAUGGGAAAUGGGGUAGAAAAGCUUGGUGUCAGUGUUUUGUCUCUCUGAUCACAGGAAAAUGUAUUAGAUAAGCAGAUAUGCCUUUGUCGUACCACUUCUUUUGUUGUCCAGUGCUAGUUAGAGUUUGGUGUCAGUAGGUUGUGUUAUCCUGAAGAUCUGAGAUACUCUUAGGUGACUAGGUGUCUUGAUGUUGCCUUAUUGAUCAAGUUUUCACAUCAUCCAUGCAGUUUACAAAGGGAUCAGUUUUCUGGUUGCAAUAGGGAACAAGUGAUCAUUCAGAUUCAAGAUUGCCAGUCCUUGGUGUUUGAUGUGAAGUAUUUGGAUUUCAGCAGGAGAACUUAAAUUUUAAUUUGAUAGUAUUUUUUUUCACUGUGUGAAACUUGUUUUCCAUAAGACUCCCAAAGCUUUGACAAAUGGUUACAAAAAGUAUCCCAGGAGCAAAUUAGCCAGCUGUUUAUAAGCACACUUACCACCCCCUGAGUUUUGAAAAUCACCAGUUCCCAGCCAGUAAGGUUGGAGAUAUGUGUCACAUCAGCAGUGAAGCAGAGAGCUGAACAGAAAAUAAUAAACUUCCCUCAAGGAUGGUGCAAUAUACUUCAUUCUAUUAAUGAGAAGUUGAAGACAGAUAUCAACUUUUCUACUAUCUUGCAGCUAUUAAACAUGUACUUGGGCAAAUUUCUACUAGUCUCAGUUAAUUUCAAAAUUUUGUUUUUUAGUGAAUUUUCCUUUCAGCUAAGGUCUUCUUAGUAAGCGCACUUUUCUAAAGCAGGAUACAUGUUUUGGUAGACAUAGCAAUGGAAUGCAAGGUUGCUGACAAGGAUGCACAUCCUGUGAGAGGGGUAAGCAGGAGGUGACUAAAACUAACCAAGUAUUCCAUGCCAUUCACAUGAUACAUCAUAUAAAAGUGGGAAACCACGAGGAUCUCAGCCUUUUUCCCUAUGGCCAACAUUAGGAGAGGACCUUGCGAGUUGUCCCUGUGAACUGAGGCCUGGUGAUAGACUGAAUCCAGUUCCAGUUUGCUUCAGAGUCCAAUCCAGGACUUCUGAGUGCAGGCUCUGAUGCUGCUGGAGCAGUGCUGAUCUUUGCCAGGACUUUCAAGAUUGGUUUUGUAUAUUUUGUAUUAUUUUCUUCAUUUUAUUAGUAGCACUAGAAAAACAUUUUUAAUUUUUUUUCCAAUUCUGUCUCUCUGUCAUUCUAUUGCCUUCCAAUCACCUGUACUUAUUGGAAAGCGGGGGGGAAGGGGGCAGCUAAAGAGGAGCUAGGAGGAAGAGGGGAUUAACAAAGCAACUGCCACGGUUUAUUGUCACCUUGCAAUCAAACCUUGACAGCCAGAAAAUAUAAAGAAAUGGACAACUGACUACAUUCUUCCCAGCAAUGUAGAAGUACUGAUGAAUGUUAAGUCAAGUUCCAGUGAAUACUGAAGAAAGAGUGUUACAGAAGCUGACGCUGCUAAAAGCAAGCAGAAAAAGUAGAUCCAUUAGGCUUCUUCUAGAAAUUAUGCUUUGUUUUUCUGCAAAGAUCACAUAUUAAAAAUGUACAUCUAUAAAAAUAAAAUAAAUUUUAAAAAAUCCCAUGUAACCGCAGUACUAAACUUACCACAUUUCUGUCCAAAAUUCAUAAUGGAUACAGAUUCAGGCAUAUUCAGUCUGUGUUUGCAAAACCUGUGUACACAACAACAAUGUUCUUAUUCCACUGGAAUUACAGUCUCUCAAGUAUUGAGUCUGAGUAUAUAGGUUUAUCUUUGUCUUUUUGCAAUACAGCAACUGCAAGACACUAUGCAUAUUUAAAACCAUGUUUUGAUCCAUUGUACUUACAAGUUAGCUUUUGAAGUCUUCAGGACUUGUCAGAGUGGAAGUUUAGAGCCAUAAUUAGGUUUUCUGCUGCUGCCCUCUGCCACUUUAACAAAGUGCUUUUAUUUUUUGCUGCAAAGAUGCCUUUCUGCAACCACAUCUGUGUGAUUUCCUUGCAAAACCUUUGGUGGCAAGAUGUGAUCAAUCUCAUGUCCUUUGUCACAAAGAGCUUCCUGGGGAAAGCUGAGGCAGACUGACUUUUUCUCCAAGAUUCAGUUCCCCCUUGCUCACUAAAGGAUGGCCAGAGUGAGCUCAUUCUCCUGUGGACUUCAACUCUAUUCCUAAUUCAUCAACAGAUGGCAGUAGAAAACUCCCUACCUAGCUGUCUUCAGACCAAAGGCCUUACAAAUGACCCUAACAAUAACAAAGAAAAGUCAUUCAAACCAUCGCUGUCUAAGUCUUCUAUGUAUACUGUGCUUUAAGCUGUUCAGUGCAGUGCAAAAGCUUCUUAAAUAUUAAUUUUGUGCUGAGUCUACAUGACCAGAAGCAGCUGCUGCUUUUGGAAUGACUACCUUUCCUGUUACCUUCUUCUGUUUUUAAGUUAUUCUUUUAUUGAUGUAUUUUAUUUUUCUAGUUGUGAAGGAGUAUAUUGAAUAUAGAUUAUAGCAAAUAAUUUACUUUUCCCAUAGAUAGAUUCCUGCAAUGAAGAGUCAGUUCUGUGAUCUCAGUAAACACUUUUUCAAAUGUCAUCAUUACGGUGAUAGAACAAGUAAUUUAGUAAGCAAGUUUUUGAGACUUGCCUCACUAGAUUUUGGCAUUUCAUUAAUUCCUCCCCGUUCAAAUCAAGUAGAUGGUAUAAUAAACUUAGUAAAUUCUUUAUAUAGAUUGAAACAUUAAGAUGCAUGGCAUAUACAGUAGUUUCUUAUUCCAUUUUUUAAAAGAUGCUGAUGUCUUGGCAUUGCCAACCAAGGAAAAAAGCAUUACCAUAAAAAUUUCCAAGAGGCAUUUUCUUGCGUAAUUUAUAAUAGUGGGCGUCUGAGAUAGGAAACCUCAUAUUAUAUAAUUCUUUUUUUAGCCUCAAGGCACAUGAAUUAGGCCUAGAGUUCCUGAUUUCUAUUCCUACCUCUUUCACUAACUUAUCUUAAUAAUUCUUUGCACUUCACAAUUUGCUGGCAUGUUUCAUAUGGUGAGAGAGACUGAUUUUAAAGAAAAGGAAGAAAAGGAGAAGAAAUGGCUCUUUCAGACACUGCUGGAGGGAGUGACUUACUGUUCCAAAUAUAAUGGAAAGGUUCGAAUUUUCUGAGCCAAUGAUUUAAAUUGAGGGAGGUUUGACUCAAAUCUUAAAGAUGUGAGCACUGAUUUCCCUUCAAUUUAGUGUGUGGAGUUUUUUUGAUUAGACUUUAAACAUCAACAAUGUGUUGGCUGUGUGAGUAUGUUACUGAGCCCUGGUGUACUUGGCAAAGGAAAGUGUGUGUCCUAGAAGUGAACAGAACAUUUUGCCUCCACACACUGUUCUACAAAAAUUUUGGGGGAAAGCCAGCACAGUGUCAAAGCCAUUAAGACUGAAGCCUCAUUUUUUGAGAGCUUUUACUUUCUAUUUUCCCACCCCAUUUUUUUUUUUUCCCUCUAAGGAAACAGAGAAACCUACCAUUGUAGAAUAUGUUUUGAUCCCACAAACAGAAAUAUUUAUCAAUUUGUACUCUUCCCUUAUCUGCUUUUGCUCUCUAAGCAUUAUAAACUUUUCCUAUAGCUUUGGAAAAAGAGAUAAAUAAUAUCGUUAAUAUUCAAAUCCUUUCAGAUUAAUUUCGACAGCUUUUUAGUUAUGUAACUGGUUUCAGGUUGUGUUAUUUUCAGAUAAAUAAUUUUGAAAAAAAUGAAAAUAACACUAAUUAUUUGGCUAUAGACAUAAAUAGUGGUGCUCCCCCAAUAACUAUCUUAUUCUUAUGAAAAAUACAACCUCGAUUAUACAAACAAGUUUUUAGUUCAGGUACAUCUGCUUGAUUGAGAAAAUUCGUGACAAGUUCAUGAUGUGUUAACCAUAAAACAGUAAUAAAAGAAAUGAUUCAAAAGAUAUGUACUCAUACAUUUCUAUCCAAAGGACCACAGUUAUUUAACAUACUCCCUGAAUUUUUAAGAAAUACAUUCCACGAAUGAAGUGUGUGUUCAAAUUGUUCAACCUGCGUCCUUUGGCUCCCUGUGCUGUGAGUAGGUAAAGACGUUAGAGAAUGGAAAAGCUCAUCAUGCAUUCAUCAGAGUUUUCUCAUGGUGGUGCUAGAAUUUGGAAGAUACUAGUUUCCUUUGUAAAUAACUGAGAUACAUUUUAAUAACGUUAUACAAUAUUAAAUGUAUGACACUGACAGUGUGAAGCUUUUGUGUUCUGAACUGAACCAUUUUUCAGCAAUCCACUAUCAAAUGCAUCUGCAACCCUGGGAGCAUGUUCCUGUUGAAUACUGAACUCCUACACUUUUUAUUUUAUCUAUUUGUUUUGAGAAACUAUCAGUGUUUGUACACAGCAUACAGCAGGAUAGAACCCAGCAAGCCCUGUCUUCUUAUAUGAACCCUGCUGUACUAGUUCAGGCACAAGAAUGGAUAUUCAAAAUACGUAUUUAUUCAGUGUAAUAGAACAGCUACUAGUAGGGUUAUUAAUGUGCACUAAACACCUCACUAAUUCAGUGUACUUUUUAUGACAUUCAGGUGAUCUACAUUAAUCCCCAUAGGGCUCAGGGUGUCUAGGGAAGGCUAAGGUCCUGUGUAGCUCACAAGUGGUAUUUUUAUAAAAUUAUACUAGAAGUGUGUGUUGCAUGGCUGAAAGUGUGACAUGAGAAACUGUGGGCAGUAGAGGCCUGGCUUUGCUGUGGAAGACUUGGUGUGUACAUGGACAUGUAUGUCUAUGUUUGACUGUGGCGGGGCAGACGCACGCUACCUAUAGGCUUACUUCAGAGUAAAUUAUACUCACCCAAAGUUUCCCUGGGAGAAAACUAGUUGUGGCUGUUCAAAAGAGAGCUCAGAGCCCAAACUGACAUAGGAGCAGUGUGAACAAUGAACUACAGAGUGAAGCGAAAUCAGGUGCUAAGUUGUUUGACAGCCAGCAUAAGGUGACCUACCUCAAAUUUAUCUUGUCAAAUAUUUCUGUGUGACACUGAUGUCCUGAGGAGACAUACUAUGAAACACCAUUCUCAUAUGUGGAGUUAACUCUGCAGAUUCCUGCACACCAUACCUAGUUCUUUUUCUUUCAUGUAUACCUCAUUUUUGAAGACAUUUUGGUGUCAGUAUCUUUAACUUUGCACACAGCUACUCAGCUUUCUAUGUUCAAAAUACUUGGUUUCUUCAUUUUCAAUACAUCUCUGAUUAAAUGAUAAUUUCUAUUAUACAUUAUUAUUUCCAGAAGAAGGUCUUAUUUUCAAAGAUGAUGCUUUCUGUGUCCUGUGAUAUAAUACAUUUCAAAGUUACUCUUGAUUAUUUCUGUCACGUCUGCUCUAUUUUUAACAUGCUUGUUUUUUUUUUUCACUUUUUUUCCCCAAACAUCCUACUUUUGUCUAGUUUUAUCCAGUUCCUAGAAAACUGUCCACCUUUACCUUCCCCUUAUCCAAAUUCCUGCAAGAAAUUUCAUUUUAGUAAAAAUAUCUUCAGUAGGAAGGAAAGGUCGGAAGGAAAAUACAUCAGUAUUUUUCUUGUGUUGUCUAAUCCUUAAUUGUCUUUUAAACAGAAAUAUUUUCCUUGUUCACUUUGUGGAGAUUAACAAACAAACAAACAAGAGCUUUCGAGAACAUGCCAUGACCACGGAACUCCUGCAUGCAUGGCUGAAGUGCAAAGCAACUUCGAUAGGAAGGAUAGAUCUGAGAGAACUGUAGUCAAGAAUGGAACCAUGACACCCUUCAACUGGAACAUGAAAACACAGCCAUCUGGUAUGGAAAUAUGCCAGCCUGUUUAAAGCAGAUUACUUUGUGUGACUACUCUGCCAAUGUAAGAAAGAGCUCUGUAACAUUUAUGGUCAACUUUCUAGUUGACCGUUCUCUAUCUACCUUUAAAGAGUGUGAAUCAAUG